rnacentral:rRNA from 1 species
GACGAACGCUGGCGGCGUGCUUAACACAUGCAAGUCGAACGGAAAGGCCCUGCUUUUGUGGGGUGCUCGAGUGGCGAACGGGUGAGUAACACGUGAGUAACCUGCCCUUUACUUUGGGAUAACUUCAGGAAACUGGGGCUAAUACCGGAUAGGAGCUCCUGCUGCAUGGUGGGGGUUGGAAAGUUUCGGCGGUUGGGGAUGGACUCGCGGCUUAUCAGCUUGUUGGUGGGGUAGUGGCUUACCAAGGCUUUGACGGGUAGCCGGCCUGAGAGGGUGACCGGCCACAUUGGGAAUGAGAUACGGCCCAGACUCCUACGGGAGGCAGCAGUGGGGAAUAUUGCACAAUGGGCGGAAGCCUGAUGCAGCAACGCCGCGUGCGGGAUGACGGCCUUCGGGUUGUAAACCGCUUUCGCCUGUGACGAAGCGUGAGUGACGGUAAUGGGUAAAGAAGCACCGGCUAACUACGUG